AAUACAGGAUCUUAUUUUAAUAAAAUAAAUCAUUAAUGUUGACUUUUUUAAAAUAAAUUGUAGUUUCACUGGCAAAUUAUUUGACUAAGCAUUAAUCCCACGUUAAAGUGAAAUAAUCUGUCAAUGGAACUAGAACUGUUUCAAUAUUAAGGAUCUUAUUAAUAAGAUCCUGUAUUUUGCUGAAAAGUUCCUUUUUCAAGUUCAAGAUAUUUGCACUAUAAACUGGACCAAAAUACUCGGAAGAUUUUGUGUUUUUGCAGUGAAGUUUCUAUAGAUGCUUAUAGCAGUGGAUGCAACGUAUCUGCUGUAGCUGUCUGUGUUGCAACUUCUCUGAGGAAACCUCUGACUAAAGACUGUUGUUAAAUAAUCUGGAUUGUUUGUUUCUCUUCCCUGAAUAACAAAAGUUCAUAAAAGACAUGGAGGUUUGUGGUUGUAAUGGGACAAAACGCUAAAAGGCCGGUGAAUGCUUUGGCUAGGCUGCAGCACCAGGAGGGAGAGCAACACGCUGCGCUUGUCCCUGACUGUUCAGUGGGAUUAAAGAUGUGGGAUUAACAGAUUCUUCAAGCUUCAUCUGAUGUGUGUGUUGUCUGCCAACGCCUUCGAGUGUGUUUUGUCUGAGACGUUUUUAAAGAUUGCUUUUGCAUCUGUGAGUCGUAUCUCUUUACAAAUGCCUUUUUACAAUUGGCCAACUGGUUCUGUUUCAUUCCAGUGUAACUUUGACUUAUUGAGCUCAACUGACCUGUUAAAACAAACUCCUGUAUAAACAUAUAAAAAAUAAAGUUAUUACAUUAAA